rnacentral:rRNA from 1 species
GAUGAACGCUGGCGGCGUGCCUAAUACAUGCAAGUCGAGUGAACAGACGAGGAGCUUGCGCCUCUGACGUUAGCGACGGACGGGUGAGUAACACGUGGAUAACCUACCUAUAAGACUGGGAUAACUUCGGGAAACCGGAGCUAGUACCGGAUAAUAUAUUGAACCGCAUGGGGCAAUAGUGAAAGACGGUUUUGCUGUCACUUAUAGAUGGAUCCGCGCCGCAUUAGCGAGUUGGUAAGGUAACGGCUUACCAAGGCAACGAUGCGUAGCCGACCUGAGAGGGUGAUCGGCCACACUGGAACUGAGACACGGUCCAGACUGCUACGGGAGGCAGCAGUAGGGAAUUUUCCGCGAUGGGCGAAAGCCUGACGGAGCAACGCGGCGUGAGUGAUGAAGGCCUUCGGAUCGUAAAACUCUGUGAUUAGGGAAGAACAAAUGUGUAAGUAACUAUGCACGUCUUGACGGUACCUAAUCAGAAAGCCACGGCUAACUACGUG